rnacentral:rRNA from 1 species
ACGAACGCUGGCGGCGUGCUUAACACAUGCAAGUCGCACGGAAAGGCCCUGCUUUUGUGGGGUGCUCGAGUGGCGAACGGGUGAGUAACACGUGAGUAACCUGCCCUUGACUUUGGGAUAACUUCAGGAAACUGGGGCUAAUACCGGAUAGGAGCUCCUGCUGCAUGGUGGGGGUUGGAAAGUUUCGGCGGUUGGGGAUGGACUCGCGGCUUAUCAGCUUGUUGGUGGGGUAGUGGCUUACCAAGGCUUUGACGGGUAGCCGGCCUGAGAGGGUGACCGGCCACAUUGGGACUGAGAUACGGCCCAGACUCCUACGGGAGACAGCAGUGGGGAAUAUUGCACAAUGGGCGGAAGCCUGAUGCAGCAACGCCGCGUGCGGGAUGACGGCCUUCGGGUUGUAAACCGCUUUAGCCUGUGACGAAGCGUGAGUGACGGUAAUGGGUAAAGAAGCACCGGCUAACUACGUG